rnacentral:rRNA from 1 species
AUGAAGGUUAUAGAUUUUAUAACAAAUAUGGUCUUGAGAAAGGUUUUAAUUAGUGUCCGGAGAAGCUAUGUCGAGUGGGAUGGAUCCAACUGCCAUAUAAUUUUAAGGAAAAUUGUGUGUAGUCCUGAAGGGGUUUGUGAAGAGAAACACAUGAAGAGGAAGAUGGAAGAUAGAAAGAGGAGGCCACGGAGUAUAACUCGUGUAGGGUGUAAAGCUAAAUUGGUGAUUGCAAGACAGGAGGAAACAUGUCAGUGGUUUGUGAAGGAUUUCAUCGAUGAACACAACCAUCCUCUAGCCCCACGCGAUCUGUCGUGUCUUUUGCCUUCACACAGAAGAAUUAGCGAUGAGCAAAAAGCGGACAUUGCAGACAUGGAAAAAUCUGGGAUCAGAAAACACCAUAUUAUGGAUAUUAUGUGCAUGCAAUACGGUGGAUAUGAUGAGGUUGGAUGCAUUAUGAAAACACCAAUAUUAUGUGCAGGAAUCAAUUGCUUCCAAGGAUGCUUAAACAGUGAUCAAUCACAUGGUGACGAGGCAAGAUUCAGAUUCAGAUUUUUUUUCUUCAAGUACUUGGUUGAUGAAGCUGGUCAUCUGAAGGGACUGUUCUUGUGUGAUAGUCAAUCUCGACUUGACUACGAGGCUUUCAGAGACGUUAUUGUUUUUGAUAGCACAUACAGAACCAAUAAGUACAAUCCGCCAUUUGUGCCGUUUGUCGGGUUGAAUCACCACCACAACACUGUUAUUUUUGCAUGUGGUAUCAUUUUACAUGAAACAAGCCAUGCAUAG